rnacentral:pre_miRNA from 1 species
AUAAUACUCCCUCCGUCCCAAAAUUCUUGUCUUCGAUUUGUCUAAAUACGGAUGUAUCGAGUCACGUUUUAAUAUUAGAUACAUCCAUAUCUACACAAAUCUAAGACAAGAAUUUUGGGACGGAGGGAGUAUAAU